rnacentral:lncRNA from 12 species
AUGAGAGAAGCGGCUGGCAAUGACUUUCAAAAACAAACUCUGCACAUUAAAGCAAGAAACGGACAAACCAGUUUGGAUAAACUAAGGGAACUUGGACUUUUGCCUACUGCCACCAGCCGAACCAGAUCAGACCCUGGCUGUACUGCUUGGGAUGGGCUCAGCAAUGAAGUGCCUAUUUGUUGGCUAGUUAAAAAUUGUUCUCAGCACCUGGGAAUCUCGUUCUCCCCUUGGGAAUUUAAAGUCUUCCUCCUCAUUCAAGAUGCCCCCAAAUAUGCCAGAGCCCAUAUUAGACGGAUAUGCUUCAUGGGAUCUUCCUUGCCAGAGAGCUAUUUCUUAUUCUUCUGUGAUUCCUGAUCAACACCAAGAAACACAGGACAAGAACAUAAAAGAAGCAAGUGUGUUUUAAUUUAUGCUCUGCAAACCUAGAUAUUAGCCAUGGUACCACAAUAUCCCAAGCCAAAAUACCAAACAAUGAUGGAUUUAUUGUUUCCCUAAUUUAAAACAAGCCUGAUUUAUUUUUAAAAAUGCAACCUCAAGACACAACUCACCAGACGUGAUAUGGAAUGUAUUAUAUGCCUAACCAAAAAACAAAACGCUACGCGGUACAGUGGAUUUGAAAAUUAUCUUGCUAUUAAUAGAACUCCCGGAUGGCUGUGAUCUGUUGGAUUUGAUACAUUCAGGUUUUGGCAGCUGCUGGGACUGAAAACAAGACGUUCCAUACGUUAUUACUUAAUAGAGAAACUAGGUCAUAAAAUAGCCCUUUGGUGAAUUUUUUCCAAAAGGUUUUGAAGAGCCCAAUUUCAUCUUUAAUAAGUCCGCGUUGCUGAGUAUGUUUGGCAAAGCAGCAGUGUGAUUAACAGACUCCUUCUCUGGAACUUGUGUAAAAUUGAGAGCAGCUUGGGGUGCCCCGUUACUGUCAUCUCUUCAGCUGGCAUUAUACGCCCACAACAAAUAUUUGUUGACUCCCCGAAGCGCCCUUCUCUUUCCUUUUAUAUUUUGAGGGUCUGUCACUGAGCUACUGACCGAAAUGUUUGGACUGAGGAGAUUUACAAAUAUAUCUGUUGGACAGAUCACAUUUUUAAGAGUUUAAGGUAAUACUGUUCUAUUCUGCUGGGUUCAAAAUCACUUUUAAAUGUUUAUUUGGAAAACAUUUCUACCUACUGGCCCCAUUAAAAAUAAGCUUUUUUUUUUUUUUUAGUUUUUAUUUAAAUUCCGGGAUAGUUACCAGAUAGUGCAAUAUUAGUUUUAGGUGUACAAUCUAGGGACUCAGCACUUCCACACAUCACCUGGUGCUCAUCACAAGUACUUUCCUUCAGCCCCAUCACCUGUUUCACCCAUCCCCCAAACAAGCUUU